rnacentral:rRNA from 1 species
GGAUGGGAGCUUGCUCCUUUGAUAGUUUGGGUGCGACCUAGUGGCGGACGGGUGAGUAACGCGUGAGCAACCUGCCUUACAGAGGGGGACAACAUCGGGAAACUGAUGCUAUACCGCAUGACAUUGUUUUGCCGCAUGACAGAACAAUCAAAGAUUUAUCGCUGUAAGAUGGGCUCGCGUCCGAUUAGGUAGUUGGUGAGGUAACGGCUCACCAAGCCGACGAUCGGUAGCCGGACUGAGAGGUUGAACGGCCACAUUGGGACUGAGACACGGCCCAGACUCCUACGGGAGGCAGCAGUGGGGAAUAUUGCACAAUGGGCGCAAGCCUGAUGCAGCAACGCCGCGUGCAGGAAGAAGGUCUUCGGAUUGUAAACUGUUGUCGCAAGGGAAGAAGACAGUGACGGUACCUUGUGAGAAAGUCACGGCUAACUACGUG